rnacentral:lncRNA from 1 species
UUAGCUCACAAUUAUACAGCAAAGUCUCCUGGGAGGGUUUAUAUGUUAAGCUCUGUCAGUAAUUUCUCCCCUAGCAAGAAUGAGGAAGAUGAAGAGCUCGGGUAUCUGAGGGCUGGUGUGUCUGCAUGCGUGUGUGUUUUGGGGGCCGACUGAAGGAAGAGAAGGCUGGAGAGAGGGAACAUGGGUCUGAGGGCACAUCGCUAAGGGGUCAAGAGGCCUAAAGGAGGAGUCUAAGGCUCUCCAUCGAACUUGGACUUGGUCUACAUUAGACUUUAACCUCCAUGAGGCUUGGACUUUCAGGCUUCCUCCCUCACACCGCGGGCAGGUGAGGCGUCUGCUACAGGCCUGGUCUCGCAGAGGGGGCCCAGCGCCCCCCGCCGCCGCCUUCUCCUGGAGUCUGUGUGACAGAAUGGGACCUGUGGGAAAGCAGCACGUCAGCACCCAGCCCCGCUUGCGCGCCAGCAGCUAAUUAAAGCCAGGAAGGUGAUGGCGAUUUUCAACUCAUUCCCGUUACAAACAGCCGACCUUCCUACCGAGUUCAAGUACCUUCUGCCUGGCCUGGAAGAACAAUAUCUCUCUGUCUCCCUCUUCCACUGGCCCUCACCUGCCUUCCCCUGAACAUGCAUUUUGCCUGACAGGAGACAGAGGCAGUUGAUGCUUGCAGCUUGGUCCAGGAGGCCAGCAGGACCAGAGAGAAGACCACAGCGACACAUGGGGAUGGCUGUCCCACAGGCAGAAAUGAGCAGCCGGGAGGAAGCCCAGGCAGCCAGCCACCCAGCUCCCUCCACAUCGUGGCCCUAGAACGGAGUCUUGAAGAAUAAGAAGCCACAGCUUGUCAGGGAAUCAGGCUGGAAAAAUGUUAUGAGACUGAGUAAGACCAGAGAUUCCUCAGCAGUGCCUGGAGAAGACCAGGAGAGGAAGCAGAAGACCCUCCUCAAAGAAGCAGCCUUCACCUCCAGACCUCCCAGCGGGACUUAGACAAUGGGGUUAGGCAGUCACAUGUCUGCACGUGGAAACUUUCUGGGACUGUGCUUGGAUCCUGGCUCUGCCUUUUACUAGCCAUGUGACCUUGGGAAAAUCACUUGACUUCUCCGUGCAGGAUUCCUCAUCUGUAAAAAUGGUCUAAGAUUAGGAGCCACCUCAAGGUUGUUGUAGGAAUUAAAUUAAUUCAUGUUUAUAAAGUGCUUUGAACAGCGUUUGGCACAUGGUAAGUGCUAUGUGGUAAGUGCUGUCUAUUGAUUACAUAAAUAAAAGUGAUCACCAUUAGACUUUCCAUGCAGAUGAUAUUAUGCAUAUACAUAUCUCCCGCAUAUGACGUCAUUGGAUCGUUUUGCAAUGGUGGGGGGUUUAUUCUUUUCCUUUUUGUUUUCUUCUUUUUUUUGUCAGAUGAAGAAACUGAUGGGAAGUGAAUUGGUUUGUAUUAAACAUUAGGUUUGCUAGGUCUCUCACAUAUUUAUUUAGUCCUCAUAACAAUUGUAUAAAAUAAAUAUUAUUUAUUCAUUUAUUUAUUUGUAAAGAUGGGUCUCGCUAUGUUGCCCAGGCUGGUCUUGAACUCCCGGGCUCAAGUGAUCCUCCUGCCUUGGACUUCCAAAAUAUUGGGAUUAAAGGUAUGCGCUACUGCACCCGGCCUAAAAGAAAUACUAUUAUCCCCAUUUUACAGAUUUGUAAACAGAAGCUGACACUUCAGAGUUCCAUCCUAAUGAAAGUAGGAUGUGACAGGGGAGCAAAUCUGCUUUGCCCCUGCCCAAGGGCUGGCAGCUCCUCCUCCUGGGGUGCAUGGUGAGUGGGUACACCACUCAUCUGUAUGUACCCGGCAGAAGCUGUCAAUUCAGUUCACGUCACUCAAGUUGAAUGGAUGUAAAACACACACAGAAGCACCAAGUAAUUGCAUUGUUUUCAAAUUACUCACCUCUAGGAGAAUUAAAUGAGCAAACGGAAGAGCAGCAACCCUGAGUUACAUUUCUCAAGACACCGGGGCUCUUGAUGGCACAGCAGCAGCUUGCUAGAGCUUGGUAAAGAGACUUGGGCCUGGUACCUGAAGGGCAAUUCCUUGGCCAUGACAUUGUAGGGAAAGACCUCUAUGGGUGUUGAAAAGACAAGGCGAGGACAAGAAGAGUUGAAAAGGAGCUGUUCUGAAGCCACCUGGCUGUGGAUGGAGGAAGCCACAUGUAGCUUAGGUAGCCUGCUAUUGUAAUUUUUUCUGCAACUGAAGAAUUCGAAAUGGGUUUGGUGGGUAGCGAAGGGCAGAAUCUGGCUUCAAGGUGACAGAGUUUGCAUAGAGAUGGCCUUCUUGAGCAAAGGUAGUGACUCCUACAUUUUUUUUUUUUGUAGAGUUGUGAUACCCAUGAGUUAGUCAGCUUGGGCUAUCAUAACAAAAUACCACACAUUGGUUGGCUUAAACAACAGAAAUUCAUUUUCCUGUAAUUCUGGAGGCUGGAAGUCCAAGAUCAAGGUGACGACAGAGUUGGGUUUCCUCUGAAGCCUCUCUCCUUGGUUUUCAGAUGGGUGUCCUCUUGCUGUCUCUUCAUGUGACUGUCCCUCUGCAUGUGUGCCCCUGGGGACUCUUUCUUAUCUUAUAGUGACACUAGUUCUAUUGGAUUGAAGUGUACCCAUACGACCUCAUUUAAACUUAAUUACAUAUUGUAAGGCCCUAACUUCAAAUACAGUCACAUCCUGAGGUACUGUGUAUUAGGGCUUCAACAUAUAAAUUUUGGGGCAAUCCAGUUCAGCCCAUAAAAUCCCUUUUUGGUUGCUUGAUUCUGUUUAUUUGGUGUCAUGCCUUCCUUUUCCUAAAGAACUUCAUGAAUAGAAUUACUUUCUAAGUGAAAGGAACAAAACUGAUUUUUAUUAAAAAUUAUUUUGAGAUGCUUGUGACAAAUUUUGAAGUAAGUGAAGAUUUUCCUGGAGCUUCUACAAAAUCCUGGCUGAGAAUCCCUGCUUUCUGGACAGUUGAGAAGGAAAUACACUUAGUACAGCUGUUAGAGAGAUAUAGUUGCAACCACUGAGUGCUUAUUAUCUGCCAACUUAAAUAUAUUGCCCAAGGGAAUAACAAAUAUUCUAGUGUUCUUGUUAAGUAUAUUGUCUAAGGUCACACAGCUCUUAAACAACAGCUUCAGGAUUUGAACCUGGAAUCUAUCUGACUCCUAAGUCCAGAUGCUGUUCACCACAUUAGGUUGAAGCAUGGCCAGUGUUCAUAACAUACAACUAUGUCUCCAUAUCUUUUGCUAACCAAUGUUCUUGUAUGUGCAUACCUUACAGGGCAGCCAUUCACCACAAGCCCUACUAGAUGGCUUCCUGUAAUAAGGGUAGAACAGUAGUACUCUCCUUUUGAGAAGUUAUUUGUAAUUUUGUUGGUGGGCUGACAUUUAGGCCCUGCUCUCCAGCCCCAGAGGGGAUCCCAUAACCUAGAUCAGGCCAAUGAUGAUUAUCUCCGUGACUGUAGUGGCUGGUCCAGCGGGGAGGGUCAGGCAGGUAAGCUGGCCCAACCUGAGUCCUUCUUGAGGAUUUUAGAAACUGAAGGUAGGAGAGAAAAAUUCUCUCUUUUCUUCUGGGGAACGGGAUGAAGGUGGUGGGUAGGCAGAGCUGUUGGGAUGUGGAUCCAGGGAUUCUGGAAGUCCUGUCCUCCACCAUGUAAAGAAUACAUCCUGCAGAAGGAGAGAAGGGAGCCAGCACACAGAGAAGCAGAGUCAGGAGAUGGAGAAGGAGAAUCCUGAGAGCCUGAAGGUCCCUGGGUCCAGCCAUUGUCAAGGCCGAGUUCUACCGUCCUUAAGUUGUUUACCUUUCUUUCUUGCUUGCUUCUGUUAGAAGAUGAACACUCAAUGAAAAAUCACCAAACAUCUGAGGAAAGCCAUCAAAAUGAAAUAAACGAAACACACAAGUUCCUAAACACAAGUGAACAGCGUGGGCUGGGUUUUUGUCGCUUGGAACUGGAAACGCUGACGAUAAUGCUGACCUCUGAGCAGACCCACGUGAGGGGCAGCUGUGGUGUGGUGUGAUGAUGCUGGGAUAGGCACUCAGAUGGUUGAGUCUGAGUUUGGCUCUGAUAUUAUAUCAACUGCAUGGGCAGCUGUGGUGUGGUGUGAUGAUGCUGGGAUAGGCACUCAGAUGGUUGAGUCUGAGUUUGGCUCUGAUAUUAUAUCAACUGCAUGGGCAGCUGUGGUGUGGUGUGAUGAUGCUGGGAUAGGCACUCAGAUGGUUGAGUCUGAGUUUGGCUCUGAUAUUAUAUCAACUGCAUGGGCAGCUGUGGUGUGGUGUGAUGAUGCUGGGAUAGGCACUCAGAUGGUUGAGUCUGAGUUUGGCUCUGAUAUUAUAUCAACCGCAUCAUUUUGGGGAAGACACAAUUUCUCAGAAUUUUAUUUAGUUGUAAAAUAAAGAUAAUGAUAUUACAUGCUCUGUCUACCAUCUAGAGUUUUUGUCAAGACAAAC